AUUCCAGCUCCAAUAGCGUAUACUAAAGUUGUUGCAGUUAAAAAGCUCGUAGUUGAAUUUCUGGUCGUGAAAAGUGGUCCGUUCCGCAAGGAAUGUGUACUGUCUAUUCAUGUCCAUCCUCGGAGUUAGUGUGUAUUACUUUUAUCGGUCGUGCAUGCAAUACUUCGUCAUUUACUGUGAGCAAAAUAGAGUGUUCAAAGCAGGCUUAUGCCGUUGAAUAUAUUAGCAUGGAAUAAUAAGAUAUGACUUUGGUCUAUUUUGUUGGUUUGCACUCCAAAGUAAUGAUUAAUAGGGAUAGUUGGGGGUAUUCGUAUUCAAUUGUCAGAGGUGAAAUUCUUGGAUUUAUGGAAGACGAACUACUGCGAAAGCAUUUACCAAGGAUGUUUUCAUUA
rnacentral:rRNA from 1 species